UCCUUUCUGUGAGGUCCAAAGAGUGUUCACUUGAUACAGGGAAGAUUUAGCAUGGUCACUGCGCAAGGAUAACAUGCAAAUUUGUGAAGUGUGCCAUAUUUUU
ensembl:snRNA U6 U6 spliceosomal RNA